rnacentral:rRNA from 1 species
ACUUUCUUCCAUACCACCCUGGACAAGCUAAUCUCAUCUGGUCUCAAGCUAAGCAGGAACAAGCUUGGUUAGUACUUGGACAGGAGACUGUCUAAAUAAUAUUAGGUGCUGUGGGCU